rnacentral:rRNA from 1 species
UAGGGAAUCUUCGGCAAUGGGGGGAACCCUGACCGAGCAACGCCGCGUGAGUGAAGAAGGUUUUCGGAUCGUAAAGCUCUGUUGUUAAGGAAGAACGAGUGUGAGAAUGGAAAGUUCAUGCUGUGACGGUACUUAACCAGAAAGGGACGGCUAACUACGUGCCAGCAGCCGCGGUAAUACGUAGGUCCCGAGCGUUGUCCGGAUUUAUUGGGCGUAAAGCGAGCGCAGGCGGCUAGAAAAGUCUGAAGUGAAAGGCAGUGGCUCAACCAUUGUAGGCUUUGGAAACUGUUUAACUUGAGUGCAGAAGGGGAGAGUGGAAUUCCAUGUGUAGCGGUGAAAUGCGUAGAUAUAUGGAGGAACACCGGUGGCGAAUGCGGCUCUCUGGUCUGUAACUGACGCUGAGGCUCGAAAGCGUGGGGAGCGAACAGG